rnacentral:rRNA from 1 species
UUAUCCGGAUUUAUUGGGUUUAAAGGGAGCGUAGGUGGAUUGUUAAGUCAGUUGUGAAAGUUUGCGGCUCAACCGUAAAAUUGCAGUUGAAACUGGCAGUCUUGAGUACAGUAGAGGUGGGCGGAAUUCGUGGUGUAGCGGUGAAAUGCUUGGAUAUCACGAAGAACUCCGAUUGCGAAGGCAGCUCACUAGACUGUCACUGACACUGAUGCUCGAAAGUGUGUGUAUCAAACAGGAUUAGAUACCCUGGUAGUCCACACAGUAAACGAUGAAUACUCGCUGUUUGCGAUAUACAGUAAGCGGCCAAGCGAAAGCAUUAAGUAUUCCACCUGGGGAGUACGCCGGCAACGGUGAAACUCAAAGGAAUUGACGGGGGCCCGCACAAGCGGAGGAACAUGUGGUUUAAUUCGAUGAUACGCGAGGAA